AACGCACAUUGCGCCCGCCAGUAUUCUGGCGGGCAUGCCUGUCCGAGCGUCAUUUCAACCCAUCAAGCUUAGCGCUUGUGUUAGAGCCCUGCGGCCGCCGCAGCCUCCUAAAAUCAGUGGCGGGCUCGCUAUCACGCUGAGUGCAGUAGUAUUCUUCUCACUCCUGUGGUGUAGCGGGUAACCAGCCGUAAAAUCCCCCCAUAUUCAAAGGUUGACCUCGGAUCAGGUAGGAAUACCCGCUGAACUUAA
rnacentral:misc_RNA from 1 species